GUGGCCCUGAAUCAAGUUUUCUGAAGCUAUAGGUUUCAAGCAUAAGCCUAAACUGGUAUUUUUCUAUGGUCUGUUAGCCAUUUCAGAACUUUAGAAAUGUCAUGGUCAUUGUAUUAGAAAGGAAACCAC
ensembl:snoRNA